AUUAUAUUGCUAUUAAUACCUAAGACAGUAACGGGGAAAUUCCCUUAAUCAUGUUACCGAGGAAAAGACUUGUUUUAAAAACAUUUUUUGUUUUGUCCUUGGUUUAGUGUUACUAGCCAAGGUUUUUAUUUUAUUUA
rfam:Mycoplasma mycoides subsp. capri str. GM12 transgenic clone deltatypeIIIres, complete genome.